CGAACGCUGGCGUCGUGCUUAACACAUGCAAGUCGAGCGGUAAGGCCCCUUCGGGGGUACACGAGCGGCGAACGGGUGAGUAACACGUGAGCAAUCUGCCCAUCACAUCGGGAUAACUCCGGGAAACCGAAGCUAAUACCGAAUACGACCACCUCCGGCAUCGGAUGGUGGUGGAAAGUUCCGGCGGUGAUGGAUGAGCUCGCGGCCUAUCAGCUUGUUGGUGGGGUAACGGCCCACCAAGGCUUCGACGGGUAGCCGGCCUGAGAGGGUGACCGGCCACACUGGGACUGAGACACGGCCCAGACUCCUACGGGAGGCAGCAGUGGGGAAUAUUGGACAAUGGGCGAAAGCCUGAUCCAGCAACGCCGCGUGAGGGAUGACGGCCUUCGGGUUGUAAACCUCUUUCAGCAGGGACGAAGCGCAAGUGACGGUACCUGCAGAAGAAGCACCGGCCAACUACGUG
rnacentral:rRNA from 1 species